CUUGGGUUCCGUGGAGUAAAACAGGAAGUUGAUAAAGUCGUAUUUUCUAAUUAUGGACGAAUUAGACAUUGGGCAGCAGUGGUGGAACUCAAGCAAACCCAGUCAGUUGUGCAUCCUUGGGGAGUGAGGACUGGUUGAGAGGUGGUUUUGGGGAUUGAUGAUGGGUUGAGAGGUGGUUUAGGGGAGUGAAGACUGGUUGAGAGGUGGUUUUGGGGAUUAAUGAUGGGUUGAGAGGUGGUUUUGGGGAUUGAUGAUGUGUUGAGAGGUGCUUUUGGGGAUUGAUGAUGGGUUGAGAGGUGGUUUAGGGGAGUGAGGACGGGUUGAGAGGUGGUUUAGGGGAGUGAGGACGGUUGAGAGGUGGUUUAGGGGAGUGAGGACGGGUUGAGAGGUGGUGUGUAUAGUUGCCCCUCCAUUCAUCAACAAGCCUCCCUCCCUAA
ensembl:lncRNA